rnacentral:misc_RNA from 1 species
GGAACUCCAACAUGAAGCUGUUUGAGCUCACCCAACCUUGCUUAGAAUUUAGGUUGGUUGAUCACUUGGUUGGCAGAGUGGUUAAGUAAUUUUCUGAGAUUAGGAAAAAAAAGGCUUCAUUUAUUCUUGAAAUUCAAAAAAUUGUGCAUAUAAAAAUUUUCGGUGGAGUGUGGACUAAGGUAAUAAACAACAGCCUAUGCAUCAAGUGUCAGAAAAAUGCAAUCUGACAAACUGGGUUGGUGAUCUUAGAUCCACGCUUAUAUCUGCUGAGAGAGGGUGAUGCAGUCAAUCUUAGACAGACCAAAUAAAAGUAUAUCAGUGAUCAAUCUUUAUGGAUUACGCAAGGUAAAGGCAGAAGAAGAUAAAGCUAGGAGUAGAUUUUGG